rnacentral:lncRNA from 1 species
UCUUGGAUCUCAUCUCAUCAGAUUAGAUCUACAUGUUCUUAUGAUCUAAGCAUAAAAUUAAUAUAUGAAAAGCAUAAACAUUAAGAUCUCAUCUUCACCUUUGUGCGGAUAGUUAUUCACCGUGAUUUGAUGAUCAUGGAUAUCUCUUCAGAUUCUUUGAAGAGCUGCACAAGUAUCCGACUUCUAUAGAUAUCUACGAAAAUGAUCUAGAAAGCUCCUUCUACAUUUCUUCUCCAGGAAACUAGCAUGCACCUCUAAGGGAAGGAGGAAGAAGAAAAGAGAACUCCUUUUCUCUAAGCAAGACACCAACCCUUGGCGUGUAGGAGGAUGCCUCGAUGCGUUGGGCAUGGAAGCCAAAGAACAUGCAACCCUUGGGCAUGGAGGCAUGAAGAAAAGAGGGAGAGG